rnacentral:rRNA from 1 species
GGUUAAGCGACUAAGCGUACACGGUGGAUGCCCUGGCAGUCAGAGGCGAUGAAGGACGUGCUAAUCUGCGAUAAGCGUCGGUAAGGUGAUAUGAACCGUUAUAACCGGCGAUUUCCGAAUGGGGAAACCCAGUGUGUUUCGACACACUAUCAUUAACUGAAUCCAUAGGUUAAUGAGGCGAACCGGGGGAACUGAAACAUCUAAGUACCCCGAGGAAAAGAAAUCAACCGAGAUUCCCCCAGUAGCGGCGAGCGAACGGGGAGCAGCCCAGAGCCUGAAUCAGUGUGUGUGUUAGUGGAAGCGUCUGGAAAGGCGCGCGAUACAGGGUGACAGCCCCGUACACAAAAAUGCACAUGCUGUGAGCUCGAUGAGUAGGGCGGGACACGUGGUAUCCUGUCUGAAUAUGGGGGGACCAUCCUCCAAGGCUAAAUACUCCUGACUGACCGAUAGUGAACCAGUACCGUGAGGGAAAGGCGAAAAGAACCCCGGCGAGGGGAGUGAAAAAGAACCUGAAACCGUGUACGUACAAGCAGUGGGAGCACGCUUAGGCGUGUGACUGCGUACCUUUUGUAUAAUGGGUCAGCGACUUAUAUUCUGUAGCAAGGUUAACCGAAUAGGGGAGCCGAAGGGAAACCGAGUCUUAACUGGGCGUUAAGUUGCAGGGUAUAGACCCGAAACCCGGUGAUCUAGCCAUGGGCAGGUUGAAGGUUGGGUAACACUAACUGGAGGACCGAACCGACUAAUGUUGAAAAAUUAGCGGAUGACUUGUGGCUGGGGGUGAAAGGCCAAUCAAACCGGGAGAUAGCUGGUUCUCCCCGAAAGCUAUUUAGGUAGCGCCUCGUGAAUUCAUCUCCGGGGGUAGAGCACUGUUUCGGCAAGGGGGUCAUCCCGACUUACCAACCCGAUGCAAACUGCGAAUACCGGAGAAUGUUAUCACGGGAGACACACGGCGGGUGCUAACGUCCGUCGUGAAGAGGGAAACAACCCAGACCGCCAGCUAAGGUCCCAAAGUCAUGGUUAAGUGGGAAACGAUGUGGGAAGGCCCAGACAGCCAGGAUGUUGGCUUAGAAGCAGCCAUCAUUUAAAGAAAGCGUAAUAGCUCACUGGUCGAGUCGGCCUGCGCGGAAGAUGUAACGGGGCUAAACCAUGCACCGAAGCUGCGGCAGCGACGCUUAUGCGUUGUUGGGUAGGGGAGCGUUCUGUAAGCCUGUGAAGGUGUGCUGUGAGGCAUGCUGGAGGUAUCAGAAGUGCGAAUGCUGACAUAAGUAACGAUAAAGCGGGUGAAAAGCCCGCUCGCCGGAAGACCAAGGGUUCCUGUCCAACGUUAAUCGGGGCAGGGUGAGUCGACCCCUAAGGCGAGGCCGAAAGGCGUAGUCGAUGGGAAACAGGUUAAUAUUCCUGUACUUGGUGUUACUGCGAAGGGGGGACGGAGAAGGCUAUGUUGGCCGGGCGACGGUUGUCCCGGUUUAAGCGUGUAGGCUGGUUUUCCAGGCAAAUCCGGAAAAUCAAGGCUGAGGCGUGAUGACGAGGUACUACGGUGCUGAAGCAACAAAUGCCCUGCUUCCAGGAAAAGCCUCUAAGCAUCAGGUAACAUCAAAUCGUACCCCAAACCGACACAGGUGGUCAGGUAGAGAAUACCAAGGCGCUUGAGAGAACUCGGGUGAAGGAACUAGGCAAAAUGGUGCCGUAACUUCGGGAGAAGGCACGCUGAUACGUAGGUGAAGUCCCUCGCGGAUGGAGCUGAAAUCAGUCGAAGAUACCAGCUGGCUGCAACUGUUUAUUAAAAACACAGCACUGUGCAAACACGAAAGUGGACGUAUACGGUGUGACGCCUGCCCGGUGCCGGAAGGUUAAUUGAUGGGGUUAGCGCAAGCGAAGCUCUUGAUCGAAGCCCCGGUAAACGGCGGCCGUAACUAUAACGGUCCUAAGGUAGCGAAAUUCCUUGUCGGGUAAGUUCCGACCUGCACGAAUGGCGUAAUGAUGGCCAGGCUGUCUCCACCCGAGACUCAGUGAAAUUGAACUCGCUGUGAAGAUGCAGUGUACCCGCGGCAAGACGGAAAGACCCCGUGAACCUUUACUAUAGCUUGACACUGAACAUUGAGCCUUGAUGUGUAGGAUAGGUGGGAGGCUUUGAAGUGUGGACGCCAGUCUGCAUGGAGCCGACCUUGAAAUACCACCCUUUAAUGUUUGAUGUUCUAACGUUGACCCGUAAUCCGGGUUGCGGACAGUGUCUGGUGGGUAGUUUGACUGGGGCGGUCUCCUCCUAAAGAGUAACGGAGGAGCACGAAGGUUGGCUAAUCCUGGUCGGACAUCAGGAGGUUAGUGCAAUGGCAUAAGCCAGCUUGACUGCGAGCGUGACGGCGCGAGCAGGUGCGAAAGCAGGUCAUAGUGAUCCGGUGGUUCUGAAUGGAAGGGCCAUCGCUCAACGGAUAAAAGGUACUCCGGGGAUAACAGGCUGAUACCGCCCAAGAGUUCAUAUCGACGGCGGUGUUUGGCACCUCGAUGUCGGCUCAUCACAUCCUGGGGCUGAAGUAGGUCCCAAGGGUAUGGCUGUUCGCCAUUUAAAGUGGUACGCGAGCUGGGUUUAGAACGUCGUGAGACAGUUCGGUCCCUAUCUGCCGUGGGCGCUGGAGAACUGAGGGGGGCUGCUCCUAGUACGAGAGGACCGGAGUGGACGCAUCACUGGUGUUCGGGUUGUCAUGCCAAUGGCACUGCCCGGUAGCUAAAUGCGGAAGAGAUAAGUGCUGAAAGCAUCUAAGCACGAAACUUGCCCCGAGAUGAGUUCUCCCUGACCCUUUAAGGGUCCUGAAGGAACGUUGAAGACGACGACGUUGAUAGGCCGGGUGUGUAAGCGCAGCGAUGCGUUGAGCUAACCGGUACUAAUGAACCGUGAGGCUUAACCUU